rnacentral:rRNA from 1 species
UGUAAGCGUAUACCAAAGUUGUUGCAGUUAAAACGCUCGUAGUCGGAAUUUGGCAGUUCCGGAUGUGUGCACGUCGUGUGCGCACUUCGCGGGGAUUGCUUUUGUGGUCUUGCGUAGGAUGAGGCACUUUUAUUAGUGAACGUCCUCACGCAACCACUUUUUACUGUGAGAAAAUCAGAGUGCUCAAAGCAGGCAUUUGCCGUGAAUAUAUUAGCAUGGAAUAAUAGGAUAGGACUUGGUUCUAUUUUGUUGGUUUGUUGGGACUGAGUAAUGAUUAAGAGGGACAGUUGGGGGCAUUUGUAUUUCGGUGCUAGAGGUGAAAUUCUUAGAUUACCGAAAGACAAACUGCUGCGAAAGCGUCUGCCAAGGAUGUUUUCAUUGA